AGCCCUAGAAAAAAUCUAAGGUGUAACCUGCCCAAUGGUUUUAAAUUAAUAUAAAUAAAAAUUAUAAAAUAAAACUAAAAGGACGCGGUAACCUUGACCGUGAUAAUGUAGCAUAAUCAUUCGCCAUUUAAUUGAUGGAUAGUAUGAAUGGUUGAACGAAUAUUUCACUGUCUUAAAAAGAAACAUUUAAAAAUUAGAAUAAUAGUAAAGAUACUAUUUAAAAUUGUAAGACGAAAAGACCCUAUAGAGCUUAACUAUAAUCUUUUACUAAUCAAAAGAAAAAAUUCUUUAAAAUAAAAAGAUUGGUAGUUUAGUUGGGGCGACUAUCUUUUAAAAUUAACAAAGAUAAGCAAAGUAAAUAAAAAAAACUUAUUGUAUAAUUAAUAAAUUUAACAAUUACUAAAGUAGGCUAUAAUGACCCGUUAUAAUCUCAUAAAAAAAAUAACGAUCAAUAAAUAAAAGCUACCUUAGGGAUAACAGGAUAAUUUUAUUUUAGAGAUCAUAUCGAAAAUAAAGUUUGUCACCUCUAUGUUGAAUUAAGAUAUCCUGAUAAUGCAGAAGUUAUCAAAGGUAGGUCUGUUCGACCUUUAAAAUCUUA
rnacentral:rRNA from 1 species